rnacentral:rRNA from 1 species
AGUGAACGCUGGCGGUAGGCCUAACACAUGCAAGUCGAACGGCAGCACAGUAAGAGCUUGCUCUUACGGGUGGCGAGUGGCGGACGGGUGAGGAAUACAUCGGAAUCUACUUUUUCGUGGGGGAUAACGUAGGGAAACUUACGCUAAUACCGCAUACGACCUACGGGUGAAAGCAGGGGAUCUUCGGACCUUGCGCGAUUGAAUGAGCCGAUGUCGGAUUAGCUAGUUGGCGGGGUAAAGGCACACCAAGGCGACGAUCCGUAGCUGGUCUGAGAGGAUGAUCAGCCACACUGGAACUGAGACACGGUCCAGACUCCUACGGGAGGCAGCAGUGGGGAAUAUUGGACAAUGGGCGCAAGCCUGAUCCAGCCAUACCGCGUGGGUGAAGAAGGCCUUCGGGUUGUAAAGCCCUUUUGUUGGGAAAGAAAAGCAGCAGGUUAAUACCCCGCUGUUCUGACGGUACCCAAAGAAUAAGCACCGGCUAACUUCGU